CAGGCCUAACACAUGCAAGUCGAGGGGUAUAGUAGCAAUACUAGAGACCGGCGCACGGGUGCGUAACGCGUAUGCAAUCUACCUUUUGCAGAGGGAUAGCCCAGAGAAAUUUGGAUUAAUACCUCAUAGUAUUAUAGUAUGGCAUCAUAUUAUAAUUAAAGUCACAACGGCAAAAGAUGAGCAUGCGUCCCAUUAGUUAGUUGGUAAGGUAACGGCUUACCAAGACUACGAUGGGUAGGGGUCCUGAGAGGGAGAUCCCCCACACUGGUACUGAGACACGGACCAGACUCCUACGGGAGGCAGCAGUGAGGAAUAUUGGACAAUGGGCGCAAGCCUGAUCCAGCCAUGCCGCGUGCAGGAUGACGGUCCUAUGGAUUGUAAACUGCUUUUGCACAGGAAGAACAACGCUACGUGUAGCGUCUUGACGGUACUGUGAGAAUAAGGAUCGGCUAACUCCGUGCCAGCAGCCGCGGUAAUACGGAGGAUCCAAGCGUUAUCCGGAAUCAUUGGGUUUAAAGGGUCCGUAGGCGGUUUAGUAAGUCAGUGGUGAAAGCCCAUCGCUCAACGGUGGAACGGCCAUUGAUACUGCUAGACUUGAAUUAUUAGGAAGUAACUAGAAUAUGUAGUGUAGCGGUGAAAUGCUUAGAGAUUACAUGGAAUACCAAUUGCGAAGGCAGGUUACUACUAAUGGAUUGACGCUGAUGGACGAAAGCGUGGGUAGCGAACAGGAUUAGAUACCCUGGUAGUCCACGCCGUAAACGAUGGAUACUAGCUGUUGGGAGCAAUCUCAGUGGCUAAGCGAAAGUGAUAAGUAUCCCACCUGGGGAGUACGUUCGCAAGAUGAAACUCAA
rnacentral:rRNA from 1 species